AAGGUGGUGGAUACAACUUAAACACUGGGGCUUUUGUUUGUCCGGAGAGCGGAAUGUACUUGCUAUCGUUUUAUAUAGGAGAAAGAGGCGGCUUAUCACCUCAAGGGGCAUACAUCUAUCUGAAGGUAAACAAUGUGAACAUUAUUGAUGCAGUGGUAGAUGCGCCUCAUUACACACAAGAUCUUCAGGGCGGAAAUACGGUAAUCAUUCGUCUGAAAGCUGGAGAUGUUGUAAUAACUCAACACGAGGACAGUGGUGGUCAGUUGUGGAAGAGGGUCGAUGUCAGAUGUCUAUCAAAAUGCCUUACUUCAUUCUCCGGUUUCAUGCUUUAUUCCUAAAAAUAAAAUUAUGUGAG
rnacentral:lncRNA from 1 species